rnacentral:rRNA from 1 species
GAUGAACGCUGGCGGCGUGCCUAAUACAUGCAAGUCGAGCGAACGGACGAGAAGCUUGCUUCUCUGAUGUUAGCGGCGGACGGGUGAGUAACACGUGGAUAACCUACCUAUAAGACUGGGAUAACUUCGGGAAACCGUAGCUAAUACCGGAUAAUAUUUUGAACCGCAUGGUUCAAAAGUGAAGGACGGUCUUGCUGUCACUUAUAGAUGGAUCCGCGCUGCAUUAGCUAGUUGGUAAGGUAACGGCUUACCAAGGCAACGAUGCAUAGCCGACCUGAGAGGGUGAUCGGCCACACUGGAACUGAGACACGGUCCAGACUCCUACGGGAGGCAGCAGUAGGGAAUCUUCCGCAAUGGGCGAAAGCCUGACGGAGCAGCGCCGCGUGAGUGAUGAAGGUCUUCGGAUCGUAAAACUCUGUUAUUAGGGAAGAACAUAUGUGUAAGUAACUGUGCACAUCUUGACGGUACCUAAUCAGAAAGCCACGGCUAACUACGUG